GCUUAACACAUGCAAGUCGAGCGAGAAUCGUUUUGCUGAAGGCUUCGGUCUGACGCAGAAUGAGGAAAGCGGCGAACGGGUGAGUAACGCGUGGGCAACCUGGCCUUAAGAAAAGGAUAGCCCCCGGAAACGGGGAGUAAUACUUUAUGGGAAUGAGAGAGGGCAUCCUACUUUCAUUCAAAGCGCAAGCGCUUAAGGAUGGGCCCGCGUAUCAUUAGCUAGUUGGUGAGAUAACAGCCCACCAAGGCAACGAUGAUUAGCCGGUCUGAGAGGGCGAACGGCCACAUUGGAACUGAGAGACGGUCCAAACUCCUACGGGAGGCAGCAGUGGGGAAUAUUGCGCAAUGGAGAAGAACUCUGACGCAGCAAUACCGCGUGAGCGAAGAAGGUCUUCGGAUCGUAAAGCUUUGUCCAAGGGGAAGAUAAUGACGGUACCCUUGGAGGAAGCCCCGGCUAAAUACGUGCCAGCAGCCGCGGUAAUAC
rnacentral:rRNA from 1 species